rnacentral:misc_RNA from 1 species
GAUGAAGAACGCAGCGAAAUGCGAUAAGUAGUGUGAAUUGCAGAAUUCAGUGAAUCAUCGAAUCUUUGAACGCACAUUGCGCCCCAUGGUAUUCCGUGGGGCAUGCCUGUUCGAGCGUCAUUUGUACCCUCAAGCUUUGCUUGGUGUUGGGCGUCUUGUCUCUAGCUUUGCUGGAGACUCGCCUUAAAGUAAUUGGCAGCCGGCCUACUGGUUUCGGAGCGCAGCACAAGUCGCACUCUCUAUCAGCAAAGGUCUAGCAUCCAUUAAGCCUUUUUUUCAACUUUUGACCUCGGAUCAGGUAGGGAUACCCGCUGAACUUAAGCAUAUCAAUAAGCGGAGGA